rnacentral:rRNA from 1 species
AUUGAACGCUGGCGGCGGGCCUAACACAUGCAAGUCGAGCGAGCGGCGGACGGGUGAGUAAUGUAUGGGGAACUGCCCGAUAGAGGGGGCUAACUACUGGGAACGGUGGCUAAUACCGCCAACUAUCGGAGGACCCAUAUGGGAUUCACUAGUGGGUGGGGUAAAGGCUAACCUAGGCGACGACCGCUAGCUGGUCGGAGAGGAUGAUCAGCCACACUGGGACUGAGACACGGCCCAGACUCCUACGGGAGGCAGCAGUGGGGAAUAUUGCACAAUGGGCGCAAGCCUGAUGCAGCCAUGCCGCGUGUAUGAAGAAGGUUUUCGGAUCGUAAACCUCGUUGUUAGAGAAGACGGUAUCUAACCAGAAAGCCACGGCUAACUACGUGCCAGCAGCCGCGGUAAUAC